AUUGAACGCUGGCGGAAUGCUUUACACAUGCAAGUCGAGCGGCAGCGCGGGGGCAACCCUGGCGGCGAGCGGCGAACGGGUGAGUAACAUAUCGGAACGUACCCAGUCGUGGGGGAUAACUAUCCGAAAGGAUAGCUAAUACCGCAUACGUCCUGAGGGAGAAAGCGGGGGAUCGCAAGACCUCGCGCGAUUGGAGCGGCCGAUAUCGGAUUAGCUAGUUGGUGGGGUAAAGGCUCACCAAGGCGACGAUCCGUAGCGGGUCUGAGAGGACGACCCGCCACACUGGAACUGAGACACGGUCCAGACUCCUACGGGAGGCAGCAGUGGGGAAUUUUGGACAAUGGGGGCAACCCUGAUCCAGCCAUUCCGCGUGAGUGAAGAAGGCCUCGGUU
rnacentral:rRNA from 1 species